CUGCUGGCUUCUAACCGAGGCAUGUGCGCGUCCCUCGCCUUCUAUUCCAUAUACACCUGUGCACCUUUGGCGAGCGCCUCCCGUCUGGAGCCGUCCCUUGUAACCUCUUCGGAGGGUAGGGGCUGGGGCGCUCCCUCUUUAUUACAUUACAGCCUGUCUUAACGCAUGUCUAAGCUCUACGGAGUGAAACGAAAUACAACUUUCAACAACGGAUCUCUUGGCUUUCGCAUCGAUGAAGAACGCCGCGAAAGUGCGAAACGUAAUGUGAAUUGCAGAAUUCAGUGAAUCAUCGAAUCUUUGAACGCAUCUUGCGCUCCUUGGUAUUCCGAGGAGCAUGCCUGUUUGAGUGUCGUGAACUCUCUCAACCUUUCUCUUUCUCUUCGGAGGAGGGGCUAGGGUUGGAUUUGGAUGUUUGCCGCGAGGCCUCUCGCGGCUCGUCUUGAAAUGCAUUAGCUGGUCCACCUCGGUUCAACAACGGUGUGAUAAGAAACGCUUCGUGACUGUGGCGCCGUUGUAAGCCGACCUUAGGGGGAUCGCUUCCAAUCGUCUUCGGACAGCACUUUACGUCAUCUGACCUCAAAUCAGGUAGGACUACCCGCUGAACUUAAGCAUAUCAAUAAGCGGAGG
rnacentral:rRNA from 1 species